GUGCAUUAUCAUGUCAAUAUACACAGCACAUUAAUAAUAAUAAGAUGAGAUUAUUUGGUUCCUGACCCUGAACCAUUUGUGAGGGGUGAAUAUAAUAUAUUCUCGUAUACAACGUUUAUCAAACUGAUAUAUAUAACUUUGUGCUCAUAAGAAACAGUUUAGCUAUUAAGUGGAGGCACUCAAUAAUUAUCUUGCUAAACCAACUAUGAUAUAAACCAACUUAUCAAGAUGAGCUAUCUUGAGUAGAGAAUCUGGAAAUUAUGCUCGAAGUUAGAU
rnacentral:lncRNA from 1 species